rnacentral:rRNA from 1 species
AAUGAACGCUGGCGGCGUGCUCAACACAUGCAAGUCGAGCGAGGCGGAGGGGGGGCAACUCCUUCCAGUCGAGCGGCGGACGGGUGAGUAACACGUGGGUAACCUGCCCGGAAGUGGGGAAUACCUCGGAGAAAUUCGAGCUAAUACCGCAUGACAUCUUCGGGACGAAAGUCCUGACGAUCAAAGCGGGGUCGCAAGAUCUCGCGCUACCGGAUGGGCCCCGCGCCCGAUUAGCAGUUGGUGAGGUAACGGCUCACCAAGGCUUCGAUCGGUAA